ensembl:lncRNA
CGGGGGAAGAGGGUGAGGGGAGAGCGGCGGGCUAGUCCGAGCCGGGGCAGGGCUCAGGGAUGCGCCGACCGUAAUAUCGGGAGCGGGCGGGGGCGCUCCGGCAAUCUGGGGGCUUUGAGGCCGCGUCUGGAUCAGGCCGUGUCGUUGUCAGAUACCUGAUAAGGAAGUCUAAGCACCGCGACGGUAAAUAACGGGCCUAGUUGGCAGAAGGAGGUUAUGAAUCCUGCAAACUGCUUCUGGACCUUAUGUACUUAAAGCAGAACAUCCAACAACCUGAUUUGCUCAAAGGAAACUAUUUUCAUUUCAUAAAUGAAAGGCCGCUUUCAUCACUAUAACAAAUCCUUUAAUAAUUUGCUGGACAGACACCUGCACCCCAUCCACAGAGGUCAGUGCUGGGGUGAGGGCUAGGCACCAUCUGGCAAGAAAACCAUGGAAAACUGGAGUUACGAGUCAUCCACCCUUGCUCAUCUCAGAGAGAACUGUCAAUCCUGGGGCGUUUGUUUCUCUCUCCCUUGGCUUUUAUCUUAGUUCUCUGAUUUCUCC